CGCUAUCACUCCUACGGGAGGCAGCAGUAGGGAAUCUUCCACAAUGGGCGCAAGCCUGAUGGAGCAACGCCGCGUGAGUGAAGAAGGGUUUCGGCUCGUAAAGCUCUGUUGUUAAAGAAGAACACGUAUGAGAGUAACUGUUCAUACGUUGACGGUAUUUAACCAGAAAGUCACGGCUAACUACGUGCCAGCAGCCGCGGUAAUACGUAGGUGGCAAGCGUUAUCCGGAUUUAUUGGGCGUAAAGAGAGUGCAGGCGGUUUUCUAAGUCUGAUGUGAAAGCCUUCGGCUUAACCGGAGAAGUGCAUCGGAAACUGGAUAACUUGAGUGCAGAAGAGGGUAGUGGAACUCCAUGUGUAGCGGUGGAAUGCGUAGAUAUAUGGAAGAACACCAGUGGCGAAGGCGGCUACCUGGUCUGCAACUGACGCUGAGACUCGAAAGCAUGGGUAGCGAACAGGAUUAGAUACCCUGGUAG
rnacentral:rRNA from 1 species